GGCAAGUCUGUUCGUGUCUUUUGCGGUAAUCAUCAUCAAAAACCGAAUGACACUCCAGAUACUCGAGUUUUAUUCUCUUUCUUUUCAGUUUCGCUUGGGAGCCCCCUUCUUCUUGGGAGCCCCCUUCGAGAAUUUGUUAUGUCACAGAGGAGAUUCAGUCAUCUGGCGAUACUAAAUACCGAAUGUACUCUGUACUCAUGUCCAAGAACG